AAACCAAAGAAAUUCUUCCUGCCAAAUGCUUCCUCUGACCUCCCCCAGUGUUGUCAAGAGUAAGGCCAAUGAAAACAAGCAGUUUUUAAACAACAUACUUUUGCUUAAAUCUGAAAGUUACAUCCUCUGUGGUGGAACAGUAUCAUCAUUUGUGGCCAGUUUCUUCCAUUUCAAUGCAAUGACUUUUCUAAUUCAGCUGAAUUAA
rnacentral:lncRNA from 1 species